CAAACUCAGUUUGCAGGAAGGAGCAUAGGAGAAUAAAGGAUGGAACAAAGAAGAAAAAGAACAGCAAGUUACUCUGAGUAUUGUGGAAACAAACUGAAAUUAGAGUGAGAGAGAGAGAGAAAAAAAAAGAAGGUCCGAGCAAUCUCAGAUAUAUGAGAGGCCAAGAUGGGAAGAUCACUUGGGUAAGACUGGGAAGAUUGAGUCUGCAGUGAGUCACAGUCGCAUCAUUCUGCUGGAUUUGAAUGGUACUGCUUCUGGCCCAAGUUGUCUGGGCAACCUUAGACAUGGCUGGAAACACUCUUUUUGUAGAACAUACAAAUGGACAUUUCUAAGCACAUUGAGGCCUAUAAUGAAAAAUCAAAUAUCCCACAAUGAAAACUAGAAGGAAGCUAUCUGUGAUAAUGCUUUGUGGUGUAUGGAUUCAUCUCACUGACUGAAACCUGAGUUUUGAUUCACCAGAAUCUAUGCAGGGACAUUUUUGUGCUCAUUGAGGCCUACUGUGAAAAACCAAACAUCAGGGGUGGAGCCAAAAAAGCCAAAUAGGAACAGCUCCAGUCUACAGCUCCCAGCAUGAGCCACACAGAAGAUGGAUGAUUUCUGCAUUUCCAACUGAGGUACCAGGUUCAUCUCACUGGGGAGUGUUGGAAAGUGGGUUCAGGACAGUGGGUGCAGGACACCGAGCAUGAGCCAAAAGAGGGUGAGGCAUCACCUCACCUGGGAAGCACAAGGGGUCAGGGAAUUCACUUUCCUAGUCAAAGAAAGUGGUGACAGAUGGCACCUGGAAAAUCAGGUCACUCCCACCAUAAUACUGCACUUUUCCAAUGGUCUUAGCAAAUGGCACACCAGGAGAUUAUAUCCCUUGCAUGGCUUGGAGGGUUCUACACCCAUGGAGCCUUGCUUAUUGCUAGCACAGCAGUAUAAGAUCAAACUGCAAGGUGGCAGAGAGGCUUGGGGAGGGGCACCCACCAUUGCCGAGGCUUGAAUAGGUAAACAAAGUGGCUAGGAAGCUCGAACUUGGUGGAGCCCACCACAGCUCAAGGAGGCCUGCCUGCCUCUGUAGACUCCACCUCCGGGGGCAGGACAUAGCCAAACAAAAGGCAACAGAAACCUUUGCAGAUUUAAUUGUCCCUGUCUGACAGCUUUGAAGAGAGUAGUGGUUCUCCCAGCACGCAGCUGGAGAUCUGAGAAUGGAGAGAUUGCCUCCUCAAGUGGGUCCCUGAACCCCAAGUAGCAUAACUGGGAAGCACCCCCCAGUAGGGGCAGACUGACACCUCACAAGGCCGGGUACUCCUCUGAGACAAAACUUCCAGAGGAACAAUCAGGCAUCAACAUUUGCUGUUCACCAAUAUCCGCUGUUCUGCAGCCUUUGCUGCUGAUACCUAGGCAAAUAGGGUCUGGAGUGGACCUCCAGCAAACUCCAACAGACCUGCAGCUGAGGGUCCUGACUGUUAGAAGGAAAACUAACAAACAGAAAGGACAUCCACACAAAAACCCCAUCUGUACGUCACCAUCAUUGAAGACCAAAGGUAGAAAAAACCACAAAAAUGGGGAAUAAAACAGAAAAGAAAAACUGGAAACUCUAAAAAUUAGAGUGCCUCUCCUCCUCCAAAGGAAUGCAGCUCCUCACCAGCAAUGAAACAAAGCUGGAUGGAGAAUGACUUUGACGACUUGAGAGAAGAAGGCUUCAGAUGAUCAAACUAUUCUGAGCUAAAAGAGAAAGUUCGAACCCAUGGCAAAGAAGUUAAAAACCUUGAAAAAAAGUUAGAUGAAUAGCUAACUAGAAUAGCCAAUGCAGAGAAGUCCUUAAAGGACUUGAUGGAGCUGAAAACCAAGGCACGAGAAAUACAUGAUGAAUGCACAAGCCUCAGUAACCAAUUCGAUCAACUGGAAGAAAGGGUAUCAGUGAUGGAAGAUCAAAUGAAUGAAAUGAAGUGAGAAGAGAAGCUUAUAGAAAAAAGAAUAAAAAGAAAUGAACAAAGCCUUCAAGAAAUAUGGGACUAUGUAAAAACCCCAAAUCUACAUCGGAUUGUUGUAUCCGAAAGUGACAGGGAGAAUGGAACCAAGUUGGAAAACACUCUGCGGGAUAAUAUCCAGGAGAAUUUCCCCAAUCUAGCAAGGCAGGCCAACAUUCAAAUUCAGGAAAUAACAGAGAAUGCUACAAAGAUACUCCUCGAGAAGAGCAACUCCAAGACACAUAAUUGUCAGAUUCGCCAAAUUUCAAAUGAAGGAAAAAAUGUUAAGGAUAGCCAGAGAGAAAGGUCGGGUUACCCACAAAGGGAAGCCCAUCGGACAAACAGCAGAUAUGUCAGUAGAAACUCUACAAGCCGGAAGAGAGUGGGGGCCAAUAUUCAACAUUCUUAAAGAACAGAAUUUUCAACGCAGAAUUUCAUAUACAGUCAAACUAAGCUUCAUAAGUGAAGGAGAAAUAAAAUGCUUUACAGACAAGCAAAUGCUGAGAGAUUUCGUCACCACCAGGCCUUCCCUAAAAGAGCUCCUGAAGGAAGCACUAAACAUGGAAAGGAACAACUGAUACCAGCCACUGCAAAAACAGGCCAAAUUGUAAAGACCAUUGAGGCUAGGAAGAAACUGCAUCACCUAAUGAGCAAAAUAGCCAGCUAACAUCAUAAUGACAGGAUCAAACUCACACGUAACAAUAUUAACCUUAAAUGCAAAUGGGCUAAAUGCUCCAAUUAAAAGACACAGACUGGCAAAUUGGAUAAAAGGUCAGGAGCUAUCAGUAUGCUGUAUUCAGGAAACACAUCUCACAUACAGAGACACACAUAGGCUUAAAAUAAAGGGAUGGAGGAAGAUCUACCAAGAAAAUGGAAAACAUAAAAAGGCAGGAAUUGCAAUCCUAGUCUCUGAUAAAACAGAAUUUAAACCAACAAAGAUCAAAAGAGACAAAGAAGGCCAUUAUAUAAUGGUAAAGGGAUCAAUUCAACAAGAAGAGCUAACUAUCCUAAAUAUAUAUGCACCCAAUACAGGAGCACCCAGAUUCAUAAAGCAAGUCCUUAGAGACCUACAAAGAGACUUAGACUCCCACACAGUAAUAAUGGGAGACUUUAACACCCCACUGUCAACAUUAGACAGAUCAACGAGACAGAAAGUUAGCAAGGAUAUCCAGGAACUGAACUCAGCUCUGCACCAAGUGGACCUAAUAGAUAUCUACAGAACUCUCCACCCCAAAUCAACAGAAUAUAAAUUCUUUUCAGCACCACACCACACUUAUUCCAAAAUUGACCACAUAGUUGGAAGUAAAGCACUCUUCCGCAAAUGUAAAAGGACAGAAAUUAUAACAAAAUGUCUCUCAGACCACAGUGCAAUCAAACUAGAACGCAGGAUUAAGAAACUCACUGAAAACCGCUCAAUGACAUGGAAACUGAACAACCUGCUCCUGAGUGACUACUGGGUACAUAACGAAAUGGAGGCAGAAAUAAAGAUGUUCUUUGAAACCAAGGAGAACAAAGACACAACAUACCAGAAUCUCUGGGACGCAUUCAAAGCAGUGUGUAGAGGGAAAUUUAUAGCACUAAACGCCCACAAGAGAAAGUAGGAAAGAUCUAAAAUUGACACCCUAACAUCACAAUUAAAAGAACUAGAGAAGCAAGAGCAAACACAUUCAAAAUCUAGCAGAAGGCAAGAACAACUAAGAUCAGAGUAGAGCUGAAGGAAAUAGACACGCAAAAAACCCUUCAAAAAAUCAAUGAAUC
rnacentral:lncRNA from 1 species